GUUGCGCCUCAAUCUCAAAGAACCUCACUGAGGCAAAAAGAGGAAGACAAGGCGUCAUGCAGCGGCGCCAAGAAGUGACGACAGAGCACAAACAUGGGUGUUAGGCACAACGACACAACAACAACUGACGGUGAAUACUUCAGGUUUGUUAUCCAAGGCAGCGUGUUUGCAGAAGGAAGAAGGGAUGAGACAAGAUAAGUUGACAAAAAAAUGCCACAAACUCAACAGCAGAUGAACAGCUGUCAAAACCAGAGGAGCUAAUAGAGGAGGUUCUACUGGAGCACCGGUUGACUGACACCACGCCAUGGUCCAGGAAGUCGUCUGUGUCCGAGAAUGCUCCUCGAAGCUUCGGAGCAGUGCUGAGAAUUUCUUUGUUCUGAUGAAAAAACAGUUCUGUGGAAAAAUAUAAUAACUGUCAGUAAAACUCAGGCUGUAUUUAAAACUGAGAAGUAUAUAUGAAUGACUAAUGAAUGGAAAUAUUACAUGCAUGCAGUCACAAUGCCAUAAGAAAUGAUUUCACUCACCAUAUUUGUUCGAAUAAA